ACAUCCACACAUCCACAAACAGACAUCCACACAUCCACAAACAGACAUCCACACAUCCACAUCCACACAUCCACAUACAGACAUCCACAUACAGACAUCCACAUACAGACAUCCACAUACAGACAUCCACAUACAGACAUCCACAAACAGACAUCCACAAACAGACACCCACAAACAGACACCCACAAACAGACAUCCACAAACAGACAUCCACACAUACACAGACAUCCACACAUCCACAGACAUCCACACAUCCACAGACAUCCACACAUCCACAGACAUCCACACAUCCACAGACAUCCACACAUCCACAGACAUCCACAAACAGACAUCCACACAUACACAGACAUCCACACAUACACAGACAUCCACAAACAGACAUCCACACAUACACAGACAUCCACACAUACACAGACAUCCACACAUACACAGACAUCCACACAUACACAGACAUCCACACAUACACAGACAUCCACAGACAUCCACAGACAUCCACACAUCCACAAACAGACAUCCACACAUCCACAAACAGACAUCCACACAUCCACAAACAGACAUCCACACAUCCACAAACAGAC